rnacentral:rRNA from 1 species
AUGGACAAGAAGAGGGUGGCCAUCGUCGGCGCCGGCCUGAGUGGCCUGGCGGCGUGCAAGCACCUCCUGGAGCGCGGCUGUCGGCCGGCCGUCUUCGAGGCGGACACCGUCCUCGGCGGCGUGUGGGCGCACGCACCAGAGUGCACCAGGCUCCAGACGCCACGGCCCAUGUUCCAGUACUCCGACUUCCCGUGGCCGGAGUCUGUCACGGAGGUGUUCCCGGACCACCGCCAGGUCGCCGACUACCUCGACGCCUACACACGCCACUUCGGCGUGCUCGACUGCAUCAGGUUCGGCUGCAGGGUGGUCGGGAUGGAGUAUGUGGGCGUCGGCGAGGAGGAGGUGGCGGCGUGGGAGGACUGGGCUGGGUGCGGCGAGGCGUUUGGUUCCGGCGACGGCGAGUGGCAGCUCACGGUGGCCGACGUCGACGGUCUCAUGGAGGUAAGGGCUCAACCAGUUUGCACAUACUUCCAAGGUACGUAUAUACUGUGUGUGCCCCUGCUUACACGGCACCAUUGGUGCGCUCAGAACAGCACACUGCACUGUCGGAUGUCGGUGAUAUUGAUCCGUUUGCCUUUAUUUGAUGAUGAUAAUAUGCUGCACCUACUAAUUUGA